GUCGAACGAACUCUGGUAUUGAUUGGUGCUUGCAUCAUGAUUUACAUUUGAGUGAGUGGCGAACUGGUGAGUAACACGUGGGAAACCUGCCCAGAAGCGGGGGAUAACACCUGGAAACAGAUGCUAAUACCGCAUAACAACUUGGACCGCAUGGUCCGAGUUUGAAAGAUGGCUUCGGCUAUCACUUUUGGAUGGUCCCGCGGCGUAUUAGCUAGAUGGUGAGGUAACGGCUCACCAUGGCAAUGAUACGUAGCCGACCUGAGAGGGUAAUCGGCCACAUUGGGACUGAGACACGGCCCAAACUCCUACGGGAGGCAGCAGUAGGGAAUCUUCCACAAUGGACGAAAGUCUGAUGGAGCAACGCCGCGUGAGUGAAGAAGGGUUUCGGCUCGUAAAACUCUGUUGUUAAAGAAGAACAUAUCUGAGAGUAACUGUUCAGGUAUUGACGGUAUUUAACCAGAAAGCCACGGCUAACUACGUGCCAGCAGCCGCGGUAAUACGUAGGUGGCAAGCGUUGUCCGGAUUUAUUGGGCGUAAAGCGAGCGCAGGCGGUUUUUUAAGUCUGAUGUGAAAGCCUUCGGCUCAACCGAAGAAGUGCAUCGGAAACUGGGAAACUUGAGUGCAGAAGAGGACAGUGGAACUCCAUGUGUAGCGGUGAAAUGCGUAGAUAUAUGGAAGAACACCAGUGGCGAAGGCGGCUGUCUGGUCUGUAACUGACGCUGAGGCUCGAAAGUAUGGGUAGCAAACAGGAUUAGAUACCCUGGUAGUCCAUACCGUAAACGAUGAAUGCUAAGUGUUGGAGGGUUUCCGCCCUUCAGUGCUGCAGCUAACGCAUUAAGCAUUCCGCCUGGGGAGUACGGCCGCAAGGCUGAAACUCAAAGGAAUUGACGGGGGCCCGCACAAGCGGUGGAGCAUGUGGUUUAAUUCGAAGCUACGCGAAGAACCUUACCAGGUCUUGACAUACUAUGCAAAUCUAAGAGAUUAGACGUUCCCUUCGGGGACAUGGAUACAGGUGGUGCAUGGUUGUCGUCAGCUCGUGUCGUGAGAUGUUGGGUUAAGUCCCGCAACGAGCGCAACCCUUAUUAUCAGUUGCCAGCAUUAAGUUGGGCACUCUGGUGAGACUGCCGGUGACAAACCGGAGGAAGGUGGGGAUGACGUCAAAUCAUCAUGCCCCUUAUGACCUGGGCUACACACGUGCUACAAUGGAUGGUACAACGAGUUGCGAACUCGCGAGAGUAAGCUAAUCUCUUAAAGCCAUUCUCAGUUCGGAUUGUAGGCUGCAACUCGCCUACAUGAAGUCGGAAUCGCUAGUAAUCGCGGAUCAGCAUGCCGCGGUGAAUACGUUCCCGGGCCUUGUACACACCGCC
rnacentral:rRNA from 2 species